rnacentral:rRNA from 1 species
AACGAACGCUGGCGGCAGGCUUAAGACAUGCAAGUCGAACGCCCCGCAAGGGGAGUGGCAGACGGGUGAGUAACACGUGGGAACGUGCCCGAAGGUACGGAACAACUCCGGGAAACUGGAGCUAAUACCGUAUGUGACCGAGAGGUGAAAGAUUUAUCGCCUUCGGAUCGGCCCGCGUCAGAUUAGCUUGUUGGUGGGGUAAUGGCCUACCAAGGCUACGAUCUGUAGCUGUUCUGAGAGGAAGAUCAGCCACAUUGGGACUGAGACACGGCCCAAACUCCUACGGGAGGCAGCAGUCGGGAAUAUUGGACAAUGGGCGCAAGCCUGAUCCAGCCAUGCCGCGUGAGUGACGAAGGCCUUAGGGUUGUAAAACUCUUUCGCACGUGACGAUAAUGACGGUAACGUGAGAAGAAGCUCCGGCUAACUUCGUGCCAGCCGCCGCUGUAAAAC